UAUCUGAAUGUGAGUGAGAAUAAUCUUGGUGACUCUGGAGUGGAACUUUUAUGCUCUGGACUUCAACAUCAACACUGCAGAUUGGAAACACUGGAGCUGGCUGCCUGUAAGCUGACAGAGAAGAGUUGGCUCCAUCUGGUCUCUGUCCUGUCAUCUCCCUCAUCACGUCUCACAUGUCUGAACCUGAAUGGCAAUGAUCUGCAUGACUCUGGAGUGGAACUUUUAUGUUCUGGACUUCAACAUCAACACUGCAGAUUGGAAACACUGAGGCUGGCUGCCUGUAAGCUGACAGAGAAGAGUUGUCUCCAUCUGGUCUCUGUCCUGUCCUCACCCUCUUCACGUCUUACAUGUCUGGAACUGCAGGGCAAUGAGCUGCGUGACUCUGGAGUGGAAUU